AGUUCUGAUUAUUGAAAGGUGCUUGCAUCUUGAUUUAAUUUUGAACGAGUGGCGGACGGGUGAGUAACACGUGGGUAACCUGCCCUUAAGUGGGGGAUAACAUUUGGAAACAGAUGCUAAUACCGCAUAAAUCCAAGAACCGCAUGGUUCUUGGCUGAAAGAUGGCGUAAGCUAUCGCUUUUGGAUGGACCCGCGGCGUAUUAGCUAGUUGGUGAGGUAACGGCUCACCAAGGCAAUGAUACGUAGCCGAACUGAGAGGUUGAUCGGCCACAUUGGGACUGAGACACGGCCCAAACUCCUACGGGAGGCAGCAGUAGGGAAUCUUCCACAAUGGACGCAAGUCUGAUGGAGCAACGCCGCGUGAGUGAAGAAGGCUUUCGGGUCGUAAAACUCUGUUGUUGGAGAAGAAUGGUCGGCAGAGUAACUGUUGUCGGCGUGACGGUAUCCAACCAGAAAGCCACGGCUAACUACGUGCCAGCAGCCGCGGUAAUACGUAGGUGGCAAGCGUUAUCCGGAUUUAUUGGGCGUAAAGCGAGCGCAGGCGGUUUUUUAAGUCUGAUGUGAAAGCCCUCGGCUUAACCGAGGAAGUGCAUCGGAAACUGGGAAACUUGAGUGCAGAAGAGGACAGUGGAACUCCAUGUGUAGCGGUGAAAUGCGUAGAUAUAUGGAAGAACACCAGUGGCGAAGGCGGCUGUCUGGUCUGUAACUGACGCUGAGGCUCGAAAGCAUGGGUAGCGAACAGGAUUAGAUACCCUGGUAGUCCAUGCCGUAAACGAUGAAUGCUAGGUGUUGGAGGGUUUCCGCCCUUCAGUGCCGCAGCUAACGCA
rnacentral:rRNA from 1 species